rnacentral:rRNA from 1 species
AACCCCCUACGGGACGCAGCAGUGAGGAAUAUUGGUCAAUGGACGAGAGUCUGAACCAGCCAAGUAGCGUGAAGGAUGACUGCCCUAUGGGUUGUACACUUCUUUUAUAUGGGAAUAAAACAGGGUAUGCAUACCCUCUUGUAUGUACCAUAUGAAUAAGGAUCGGCUAACUCCGUGCCAGCAGCCGCGGUAAUACGGAGGAUCCGAGCGUUAUCCGGAUUUAUUGGGUUUAAAGGGAGCGUAGGUGGAGUGUUAAGUCAGUUGUGAAAGUUUGCGGCUCAACCGUAAAA